UACGUAGGGGGCAAGCGUUGUCCGGAUUCAUUGGGCGUAAAGGGCUCGUAGGCGGUCUGUUGCGUCGGGAGUGAAAACUUACAGCUUAACUGUGAGCGUGCUUCCGAUACGGGCAGACUUGAGGUAUUCAGGGGAGAACGGAAUUCCUGGUGUAGCGGUGAAAUGCGCAGAUAUCAGGAGGAACACCGGUGGCGAAGGCGGUUCUCUGGGAAUAUCCUGACGCUGAGGAGCGAAAGUGUGGGGAGCGAACAGG
rnacentral:rRNA from 1 species